UGGUCUCAACCUCUUGGCCUCAAGCAGUCCUUCUACCUUGGCCUUCCAAAGUGCUGGGAUUACAGGCGUGAGGCACUGUACCUGAACGUACUGAAUUCCUGACUUUUUUUUUAAUUUGCUAAUCUUCUCUGUAUCGUUCCAAUUUUAGCACAUGUAUUGUCGAAGCAAGCACGUUCUUAACAUGUUUAUGCCAUGGCCCACCUGGUUAUCUGCUGAGCCCUAUGGACUUCUUCCCAAAUGAUGUUGACAAAUCCGUAAGAUAAAACACAUCUGUUUGCAAAGAAAAUCAAUUAAAAUGAAAAAGUUAUCGAAAUAUUAAAGUAAUAUGUUGGUGCAUUUAAUAACAAGACAGUGCGUGCACACAUAGGCAGGUUAGAGUUAAAUUUUAUUUCCUGAAGGGCAGCUGCGUGAAGGCCGUUGUGUGGCUGGAUAAGAACUCUGCAUCAUCGGGUGGUCCUUGGUGAGCUCCCUUCAUGCCUGAUGAACAAGGGCCGUGGCCGAGGACACCAAGAAGCAAGGCCGGCUCCUGAGCUGACCAGCUGGCGUGGGAAGGCAGUGUGGGUUUGCGGUGACCAACCAGCCUGGUGCAGGCAGCCACCCGUGAGAAGCCAAUCCCACCAUGGGGCCACAGCCCAGUGACCACCGAGUGACUCCUGGCGGUGAAGGCUUUAAGCCCCUCCCAACCCUGGACCUCAGCACCCCCAGUUCUGCCGCUCUGUGCAGCCGUAAGUUGGGGGCUGAGGGCAAAUGCAGCCCUGUGCCAGGGGAGGGGCGUGGUGGGAGGGCUCCUGUCUCCUCCAGCCUCCCCACGCCCCUUCCUCGGUGUGUCCACAGCGGGGCAGGGGGGGUCUGUGCAGGCGCACGCAGUGAGCAAACAAGAUAAGGGAUGGUGGCCACACUGCAGUCCCCUCAGCGCUAGCUACUGUGAUAAAACCCUCUUCUUCUAAGUAGUGUAGCCCUUCCACACGAAUCGGAAUGUGUGGGACCCGCCAUCCUGGCCGUGCCAUCAGAGCAGACCUGGCGCUGGGCGCUGGAUCAUGCUGCCCCUGUGUCCGGGGGGCUACUGAAAUUCCUGUCUUCUCGGGUUACCAUAUUUGACACCUGCCUUGGCCGGGUUCUCAGCAAGCCAAGCUGGUGCGGGAUCCUGCAUGGGGACGUCUCACUGUGGCCAGGUGAGCCAGUGGGGGGCAGGGGCCACCUUCCCACUGGGCACCACUGAGCACCACGGGCAGCUCACUGCUGGUGCCCCUGAGAACCCUGCCAAGAGGCCAAAGGAACCCCUGAGCCUGGGGACAGCCUCUCCCAGGGCAGGAUGGGAGAGGGAUGGAAAAGGCUGAACCCCCAGUUCCUGAUGGAUGAAGUUCUGCCCUAACCACCAGGUGAAGCUCUGGGGACUGGGAGUCUCAGCGCUGGGUGUGCC
rnacentral:lncRNA from 1 species